AAUUCUCAAACCUUCUUGGUCUCUCGAUCAAGAUGGCUUUGGACUUGGAGGCGUUUGCUGGCUUUGCGAAAAGCCAGCUCCUCUUAAAUGCAUUAGUGGGGUCCCCUUUGCAGAUCCCGAGGCGUGAUAAGUCAUUUCUACGUCUUGGGAUUUGCUCUGUUCCUUGGGAACCCGCUUCUAACCGUCUCAUGGGAGACAUCGUUCGAGCUUGCUCGACCCACGAA
rnacentral:misc_RNA from 1 species